rnacentral:rRNA from 1 species
GAUGAACGCUGGCGGCGUGCCUAAUACAUGCAAGUCGAGCGAACAGACGAGGAGCUUGCUCCUCUGACGUUAGCGGCGGACGGGUGAGUAACACGUGGAUAACCUACCUAUACGACUGGGAUAACUUCGGGAAACCGGAGCUAAUACCGGAUAAUAUAUUGAACCGCAUGGUUCAAUAGUGAAAGACGGUUUUGCUGUCACUUAUAGAUGGAUCCGCGCCGCAUUAGCUAGUUGGUAAGGUAACGGCUUACCAAGGCAACGAUGCGUAGCCGACCUGAGAGGGUGAUCGGCCACACGGGAACUGAGACACGGUCCAGACUCCUACGGGAGGCAGCAGUAGGGAAUCUUCCGCAAUGGGCGAAAGCCUGACGGAGCAACGCCGCGUGAGUGAUGAAGGUCUUCGGAUCGUAAAACUCUGUUAUUAGGGAAGAACAAAUGUGUAAGUAACUAUGCACGUCUUGACGGUACCUAAUCAGAAAGCCACGGCUAACUACGUG